rnacentral:rRNA from 1 species
CCUACGGGAGGCAGCAGUGAGGAAUAUUGGUCAAUGGCCGCAGGGCUGAACCAGCCAAGUCGCGUGAAGGAUGACGGUCCUAUGGGUUGUAAACCUCUUUUGUCAGGGAGCAAAGGGCGCCACGUGUGGCGUUUUGCGAGUACCUGAAGAAUAAGCAUCGGCUAACUCCGUGCCAGCAGCCGCGGUAAUACGGAGGAUGCGAGCGUUAUCCGGAUUUAUUGGGUUUAAAGGGGGCGCAGGCGGAAUGUCAAGUCAGUGUGAAAAUUUCGGGGCUCAACCCCGUCGUGCCGUUGAAACUGGCGUUCUUGAGUGCGCGAGAAGUAGGCGGAAUUCGUGGUGUAGCGGUGAAAUGCAUAGAUAUGACGCAGAACUCGGAUUGCGAAGGCAGCAUACCGGCGCUUAACUGACGCUCAUGCACGAAAGCGUGGGUAUCGAACAGGAUUAGAUACCCUAGUAGUC